rnacentral:tRNA from 1 species
UUGUCUUCGCCCAGUCUCGAACUGGGGACCUUGAGUGUGUUAGACUCACGUGAUAACCCCUACACUACGAAGA